AGUUAAGUGACUAAGCGCACAAGGUGGAUGCCUUGGCAAUCAGAGGCGAAGAAGGACGUGCUAAUCUGCGAAAAGCUUGGAUGAGUCGAUAAGAGGCGUUUAAUCCAAGAUGUCCGAAUGGGGAAACCCAGUAGGUGAAGAACCUACUAUCACCCAGUGAAUACAUAGCUGUGUGAGGCAAACCGGGAGAACUGAAACAUCUAAGUACCCCGAGGAAAAGAAAUCAACCGAGAUUUCGUUAGUAGCGGCGAGCGAACGCGAAAGAGCCAGUUAGUGAUAGCAGUAAAGUUAGGGGAAUGUUCUGGGAAGGACAAUCGUAGAGGGUGAUAAUCCCGUACCUUAAAACUCCAUUGUGGUACUAGGCUAACAACAAGUAGGGCGGGACACGUGAUAUCCUGUUUGAAGAUGGGGGGACCAUCCUCCAAGGCUAAAUACUCCUGAUUGACCGAUAGUGAACCAGUACUGUGAAGGAAAGGUGAAAAGAACCCCGGCGAGGGGAGUGAAAUAGAACCUGAAACCUUGUGCGUACAAGCAGUGGGAGCAAGAGUAAUCUUGUGACUGCGUACCUUUUGUAUAAUGGGUCAGCGACUUAUAUUUUGUAGCAAGGUUAACUGAAUAAGGGAGCCGUAGGGAAACCGAGUCUUAACUGGGCGUGUAGUUGCAAGGUAUAGACCCGAAACCCGGUGAUCUAGCCAUGGGCAGGUUGAAGGUUGGGUAACACUAACUGGAGGACCGAACCGACUAAUGUUGAAAAAUUAGCGGAUGACUUGUGGCUGGGGGUGAAAGGCCAAUCAAACCGGGAGAUAGCUGGUUCUCCCCGAAAUCUAUUUAGGU
rnacentral:rRNA from 1 species